ACCUGGGGGGGUCAGUUGGUUGAGUGUCUGACUUUGGAUCAGGUCGUGAUCUUGCAGUUUGUGGGUUCAAGCCCCACCUUGGGCU
rnacentral:tRNA from 1 species